CGGUGGAUUGGGCUCCCAGUGCAGCUGAGAGGAGCUGUGUCUUCUGAGGCACCGGAGGGCUUCCAUCUGGAACUCCCGGGUCAGCGUCUCUGCCGACAGGAGCUCAGUUCCCUUACGACUUCCUGGGGUUUUGGCCUCGGGACAACACGGGGCUGCGUCCACGCUGGGUCGUUUGUUGACGACCCAGGCGACCCGGGGAGGAAAAGGUCAUCCGCAACACGGAAAACAGCGGCUUCUAAUAUGAUUUUCCCACAGUGCCUCUAAAUUCCAUGUGGACUUUGGGUGAACUGGAUCUGGGUGGAUCCAUGGCUUGGCUUCUGUAGACUUCUUAGUCAGCACCGACCUGGAUGGGACAGAAGAAGGUUGAUCUCCAGGCCUGGAGUCCGAGCCCACCACUGCCUUGUCUUCUUCAUGGCCAAGUUCUCACCCCUCCCAGCAGGCCUCUUGGGGGCCAAGGGGAUGGGGUGUCCAUGGCAGGAGCAGGAGUCCAUGACUGGAUGGAGUGCCCACACCAGGACUGGAGGGUCUGUCGGGAGCUCCCACCGAUCUUGUGGGUCCACACGUCAGAGUUGUAGGCCCAUUCAUGGUGCACCAGGCUGUCGAUGGGACCAGUCCAGCCUGCGCAGGUGCCUGACCACCAAGUGGUCAGUGCAGAAUAUGCACAGGGAGCCCUGGCAAAGCUCCCAAACUCCCGGGAGGACACUCAGCAUGGUCCCUGGAAUCACUGGGAGGUCAGCCUACAGGGUCCCCCAUCCAAUCUCACUAAGUUACAGUAAAGAAACAGAAGACGCCUCCGUGCAGGAAGACAGAAUGUCAACAGACUGAGCACUGUCCUGAGGAAGGCAGGCUGGUGUCUGGGAACUGGGUGCUAUAGUGGGGUGAAUAGGGGGCUCCCAAACGCUAUGUCUGCGACAUGACCCCAGAAUCUGUGAAUGUAACCUUAUUUGGAAGUAGGUCUUGCAGGUAUGAUUGGCUACAGAUCUGGAAAUGAGGUCCUCCUGGAUUGGGGUGGCCCUAAAUCAAAGAGGGCAUCCUUCUAACAGAUGCAGAUACAGAGGAGACACCAGGUGAAGAUGGAGCCAGAGAUGGGAGGGAGGGGGUCACAAGCCCAGGGAUGCCUGGAGCCCCCAAAACUGGAAGAGGCAGGAAGGACCCUCCAGUGGAGCCUCUGGAGGGAGCGCAGUGCUGGGACAUCCUGACCUCAGUCGUCUGGUCUCCAGGACUGAGAGAGGACAGGCUUCUUUUGUUCCAAGCCUGUGUGUGUGCUCAUCUGUCACCGCUGCCCCAGGAAACUCAUGCAGCUGGUGGGAAGUGCGCUGCCCUGAUCUAAAGCCUCCUUCCCAUUAGGGGCAGCCCCCUGCACCUAUGCUGUUUGCACUAACCAUGAAGUUCACACUGAGCCCCAGCUCCGCUUCUGGGCACUGGCAUUUGGAGGGUGAGGGCAGACACCACCACUUGACCAGCCCCCAGCUGGGUGCCAAGUCUCUAGUGAGCUUCCCUGGGGGGGGAUGGGGGUGGGGGGUGACUGUCAGGGUUCUGCCCUUCAUCACUGGGGGAAGAGAUACCCUAGACACCCUCGAGGGAGGAGGGGCAUGCAGGGUCGUGAGAGUCUGGCUCGAGGCCCCUCCCACCCCUGCAUCCCCACUGCACCCCCACUGAGGCCUGUCUUAGCUGUAAGCACACCGGUCUAGAGCCUCCCGGCAAUUCCUGAGGUGAGGUGGCCCAGCAGACCCACCCCCUUCCUCCAUGUCUAGCAGGUGGGACAUCCCUUCUUGCCACUCGAGAAGUAGCUCUGGAGCCGAUCUGCGAGUGGUUCUGCGGUUUGCAGGCUGAGCCCCUGUUGCUGUGCUCCCCACAUGAGCCCCCAGAGCAAACUGUCUGCCCUGCUGCCUGAAUGCCCCCCUCCCUCCACUCAGUAUUGUCAGGAAAGGAUCAGGUGGUUCUGUAGCAGCGUCUGAACCCUCCUAUAAUAGGGGUGUCCUUGUUCACAACCCUCUAACUCCCACCGUUAGCAGGAGGUAACAAAGGUCUUUAAGGUAAAGGGUCCAGAGAGAAGAGAGGAAGCUACAAACAAAACCAGCUGGGACCAAGAUGGCAACGAAUCUUGACUCCCAGCAGACCCCGAGUCUCAUUGUAUGUUGAUUUUACUAUAUUAUUGAUGUAGGAGAUAGAUGGGCUCCAGAUUAGACAUUUAUAACUGGCCUCCUGUUUGCAUGUCACGGGACACAAAGAAGUGGGCUUCAGGGUGGAUACUUACAACUGUUAGCUUUUCUGAGAGCAGAGAGAGGUGGGCUUCAGUCUAGGUAUUUACAAUCAGCCUCCUGUUUGCCCUCCAAAAUAGAAGUAACAACAGAGAGUAAAUAGCCAGUGUUUGUCUCUGGUAAACACCUUACGGUAAUAGUCAUGGCAAGGACAGAGGGGACAAAACCCUGUAUGUGUAAAGGAUUCAGGGAUCUCUGCCCCUCACUCUUUUGGGACAAGGGAGACACUACACAUGCACAGAAAGGCUUCUUGGGGCUCAAAACUCAAAAGAUAAUGCCAGGCCAUAAUGAGUCUUGCUCCUCCCAGAAAUCUUCACUUCAAGAUCCAUCUUGGCUGAGGGGUGAGUGUGCACCCAGGGGUAGGUCCCAGGGUAGGUCAGAUGUGGGAAAAGAAACCAGGUAAUUGGCCUGAAGGAAGACAAAGACCCGGAAGAAGCUCCUCCUCACUGAAGGGUUCGCUCACACCCUUUCUCUGCUGUGCUUCAAUCUUAACAAACCAUUUCUCUAUGUGCUGUACCCCUUGUUGUUUUUCUGUCUCUAAUAAUUUUAUACCUGCAUUUACAGUUUCUGUCUCUGUGAUAAAUAUAUUUUUCACUGGGGGCAAAGAUCCAGGGAAAAGUAGCUUCUAGCCUUUAGCCCUUGUUGGUCUGGUGGCUAGGAUUCCUGGUUCUCAUCCAGGAUUUCCAGGUUCAAUUCCUGGGCAGGGAAUUUAAGAUCUCACUUCAUAUCACUGCUCACUGCUAACUGAAUCAUUAUAUUCACCAGAAGUGACACACCUCCUGGUGGCCAUGACCCAACAUGAAAAAAAGUGAAAGUGAAGUUGCUUAGUCAUGUCCGACUCUGCAACCCCAUGGACUAUAGCCUGCACCAGGCUUCUCUGUCCAUGGGAUUUUCCAAGUAAGAGUACCAGAGUGGGUUGCCAUUUUCUUCCCCAGGGGAUCUUCCCGAACCAGGGAUCAAAUCCAGGUCUCCCGCCUUGCAGGCAGACACUUUACCCUCUGAGUCACUGGGGAAGCUUCAUAACCCAACAUGAAGAACCAAAAAAAGGUAAAAAGGAGAUGGUACCACUAACUUGGAAAAAUCCUGCCCUUCCCUCAGACGUACCUGCCUCCUCAGCAUUAGUCUCACUCCUCUUCCCUUUGUCUUUACUGUUUAAAAUCAAACCACGUUCUCCAGGAGGGCAAGAAGAUGAGCUGUGAACUUAGUUCCUGCUUCUGUGUUCUCUGACCACCGAAUAAAGCCUGUGCUCUGUUGGUCUCAGCUUUGGUUUCAUAAUCACCUACUUGAACCUGAAUGGAUAAAAGGAAGCCCUGUCUGUUGAGACAGAGACCCCCUAGCCAGGGUAGGGCCUGAGCAGGGUCCAUUGGACUUGGUGACGACCUGUGAGGGGACAGGGGUAUCUUCCUGGGGUGAGUGGAGGGCACCUCCAGCUGCAGCACCGGCUCCAUUUACAGUGUGGCCCCUCCUGGGCCUGGACUGUGAGCUCUCAUCCCCACACCCCUGACAC